rfam:Erinaceus europaeus unplaced genomic scaffold scaffold00092, whole genome shotgun sequence
GAAGAGGGAAGCUCAUCGAUGGGACUACAAACUGAGAGCUGGAUAGAGUCACUCUAUGUCCCCUGGGAAGGUCUGAGACUGGAGCCAUGUAGAGUGACCCUAACAGGACCCUCCCCGAGCCCAGGGAGGUGAGUUCCCAGAGUAUUUUAUUUUAUUUUAUUUUAUUUUAUUUUAUUUUCUUCAGUAACUUCCUUCCCUUUU